CCUCCCGAGUGCUUGCACUCAAUUGGAAAGAGGAGUGGCGGACGGGUGAGUAACACGUGGGUAACCUACCCAUCAGAGGGGGAUAACACUUGGAAACAGGUGCUAAUACCGCAUAACAGUUUAUGCCGCAUGGCAUAAGAGUGAAAGGCGCUUUCGGGUGUCGCUGAUGGAUGGACCCGCGGUGCAUUAGCUAGUUGGUGAGGUAACGGCUCACCAAGGCCACGAUGCGUAGCCGACCUGAGAGGGUGAUCGGCCACACUGGGACUGGGACACGGCCCAGACUCCUACGGGAGGCAGCAGUAGGGAAUCUUCGGCAAUGGACGAAAGUCUGACCGAGCAACGCCGCGUGAGUGAAGAAGGUUUUCGGAUCGUAAAACUCUGUUGUUAGAGAAGAACAAGGACGUUAGUAACUGAACGUCCCCUGACGGUAUCUAACCAGAAAGCCACGGCUAACUACGUGCCAGCAGCCGCGGUAAUACGUAGGUGGCAAGCGUUGUCCGGAUUUAUUGGGCGUAAAGCGAGCGCAGGCGGUUUCUUAAGUCUGAUGUGAAAGCCCCCGGCUCAACCGGGGAGGGUCAUUGGAAACUGGGAGACUUGAGUGCAGAAGCCCCAGAGUGGAAUUCCAUGUGUACGGUGAAAUGCGUAGAUAUAUGGAGGAACACCAGUGGCGAAGGCGGCUCUCUGGUCUGUAACUGACGCUGAGGCUCGAAAGCUGGGGAGCAAACAGGAUUAGAUACCCUGGUAGUCCACGCCGUAAACGAUGCCUCGUAAGUGUUGGAGGGUUUCCGCCCUUCAGUGCUGC
rnacentral:rRNA from 1 species